AGUCAGCUGGGCAAUUGCCGCUUGUUGGAUAAUACGCGCUUUGCGCAUAUGGAAGAUGAGGGGAGGAAAGUCCGGGCUCCGAAGAGCAGGGUGCCAGGUAACGCCUGGGGGGUGAGAACUCACGGCGAGUGCAACAGAAAAUAUACCGCCCUGAUCCGAUUUUAAUCGGCGAUGGGUAAGGGUGAAAUGGUGCGGUAAGAGCGCACCGCGCAGCUGGUAACAGCUCGUGGCUAGGUAAACCCCACCUGGAGUAAGGCCAAAUAGGAAUCUAAUAAUGUUGCUCGCAUUGGAUUCGGGUAGGCUGCUAAAGGUCUGCGGUGACGUAGGCCAUAGAUGAAUAAUUGCCCUCGACAGAACCCGGCUUAUAGGCUGGCUCAC
rnacentral:RNase_P_RNA from 1 species